rnacentral:rRNA from 1 species
GACGAACGCUGGCGGCGUGCUUAACACAUGCAAGUCGAACGGAAAGGCCCUGCUUGCAGGGGACUCGAGUGGCGAACGGGUGAGUAACACAUGGGUGAUCUCCCCUGCACUUCGGGUUACGCCUGGAAAACUGGGUCUAAUACCCGUUCGGCGCGAGUUUUAGUGUGGGGGUUGGUCAGUUUUUUCGGUGUAGGAGGAGCUCGCGGCCUAUCAGCUUGUUGGUGGGGUAAUGGCCUACCAAGGCGGCGAUGGGUAGCGGGACUGAGAGGGUGGCCGGCCACACUGGGACUGAGAUACGGCACAGACGCCUACGGGAGGCAGCAGUGGGGAAUAUUGCACAAUGGGCGCAAGCCUGAUGAAGCGACGCCGCGUGGGGGAUGACGGCCUUCGCGUGGUAAACUCCUUUCGCGAGGGAAGAAGCGUUUUGUGACGGUACCUAGAUAAGAAGCACCGGCUAACUACGUG